rnacentral:snRNA from 1 species
AAUAAAACCCAUAUGGGUUUAC